rnacentral:lncRNA from 10 species
AAAAUUUUGCCCUGAGUAUACUUACAUUUUAAUGGGGAAAAGAACAGACAUAAAUGCAUCUAAUUUCAGGUAUUGAUAAAUGUGUGAAACUAAGUGAAACAGUGUGAAGCAUGAAGUAUGAUAAUCGGAGGCAAAGAAAAGGUAUCCAAUUUCAGAUAAGAUGUUCCUGGGGAGGCUUGCUGAGAAAGUGAACUUUGAGCAGAUAUUGGAAUGAAAUAUGACGGGAAUUCAACAAAUGAAGCUGAAAGAAAUAGGAGAUGGUGAUGAAGGGUCAGAAAGGACUCAGAUCAUGUACACAAUUUGGGAUUUACUAUACUUGCGAUGGAAAGACAUUGGCAUCUUUUGAGCAUGGGAAUGGCAAGAUAUGAUUUAUAUCUUGAAACUCUCAUUUUGCAGCCUAUUGUGGUUUGUUCAAGAAGAAUUGACAGUGACUGGAAGUAGGAUGAUAGCAGCUGAAAUGGGGAAAAUAUCCGGUUUUAGGAUGCAUAUUGCUGGUAAAGUGAAGAGAACAUGCAAGUACAAAGGAAAGAGUAGAAUUGGGGUCACUCCCACCUUUAAAGGCUGAGCAAUUUGAGAAAAAAAGACAAAGGUUCCUGAUGAAAGUGGAAUUAUACCUCCAGAUUGCCUUGGAAGUUGAGCUGCAACAUCAACUUUUCCCUGAAGCUCCAGCCUGCUAGCCUACCAGCACAUGCUGCAGAUUUUGGACUUGCCAGCCCCCACAAUUAUACAAGCUGUGAGCACCCUGCCCAAGUGAUCAAGUUCACCAGUGAAUAGAGUGGUCUGUGACACAAGUUCCUCUUCUUGCCCUCCCCUGACAGUGACCUAGUAACAUCCAAAAGGACCAGUGAAAUCCCUUCAAGCCUUUUCUGAUGUACUCUAUUCUGACGUAUAAGAAAAACCCUCGCCUGACGGUUUCUUGGGGCUUUUCACUGGCUUGGUUGAACCUGCUCCUGUGGUGCUCCUCCUCUGGGGCCCCUCUCAGCAUACAGUACUCUUUCUAGAACCUGUGAGCAUAAUAAACAUUGUUUCCCUGAGUCUCUCCCGUGUCCCGUCUUGGGGACACAUCUGAUUGACCACUACCGAAAAAAAAAAAAAAAAACAUACACACACACAUAAAACAUAUAUCAUAAUCCAUAUGAAUUGAUAAAGCUUUCUUAAUGCCAUUUUUGGAAAUAUUUCUAAUUUUUGCAAAUUUUAAGUACUGAAAUGAGUAUUCAUUAAGUGUUAUAUAUAAACGGCAAAUAUAUAUAUGUAUUUAUAUGCCUGCUAAGGCUAUUUCUUAAUGUUCAGAAAAGUAAUAUAAAGUGCUUGAUUUUGGAAACUAAAAAUCGAAAAUUUAAAAAGAAAUGCAUAAUGAACUUAAUUUUCAAUUUGGGUUUGGGGUCAACAAUGUGAAUCUCCUAAUAAUUGUCAAAAUUCAAUAAUUCAUACAUUAUUUAGUAUGCCCAUUUCUCCAAAACAGCCUUAAAAUUAAUCUAUUUUGUGGGAAACAUUGUGAAAGUUACCCAAAGAGAAGAAAAUGUGUUUAUGAUGAAGUUGCUGUCAUCCAGAAACUUAUAAUCAAGUUGGUAAGAUAUGACAUAAUUUGCAAUUUAAAGCACACGUGCACACACACGCACACACACACACACACAAAUUCAAGGCUGCAUAUGUACCUAAGUAUAUCAAUUUUUUAAGUUGCUAUUUUGAUUUUUUUCAAAUAUACAGAUGUGUCUGAAUGCAGGGAUUAUAGCUGAGCACAAUAUCAGGCCACUGUAUAGAUUUGAUUACAUAGUAAUUAAAUAUCUUGAUGGGCGAUUCUCACUAUCUUAAAGAGAAAAGUACCCAGAGGGGGGAAAAAUUGAUAAAGUAUGUCAAAUUUCUUUUUUUAAAAUAUAAAUAAAAUUUAAAA